UUGUCUCAAACUUCUGACCUCAGGUGAUCUGCCCGCCUCAGCCUCCCAAAGUGCUGGGAUUAUAGGCAUGAGCCACCACACAUGGCCUGCUUUUCCUUAUCUUUCAGAAUAGUUGAACUACUUUAUUCCUCAGUGUGGCCCAAAUAAGAUUUUCAAAUGCCUCUAAACAGAGCUCUCCUUCUGUGCCUCUGCUGAGGUUUGCUCCUGUAGGAAGUUAUCUGGACCAAACAGCCCGAGCACUGAAUUUAGCUGUAUUGCUGUUACAUUUCCUGUGUGUUGAGGGUUUGGCUGCCAGGAGGUGAAUUGUAGAUAGAAUCUUUCAUUCUGGUUUCAGUUUCUGGAAGUAGCUAUUGAGCUCAAGGCAAAUCAUAUAUUUAAAGAUAUAUACAUGAUUUAAGGAUAAUCUGGCAUUUAUCUCUGCUCUCUUUUUGAAGACUUCAUUAUCAUGGUUGCCUGACCCAACACAACAUAUUUGGAGGAGGAGAGGGGACACUUUUAUUGUACCCCAUCACGUGGCUGAGUCAUUUGGCUCUCCAUUCACUGGAACAGACGACUAUGGACACCACCAUUGGGUUUCCCACCAAGGACAGAGUUCCAAAGCAACAGUGGCUUCCAUGGUUGGCUCACCCAGCCUGCCUGAGUCAUCAGCUAGGUCCACAGAGUAGAGAAGUGGGUAGUGCCCCCGCCUAACAUCUGGAAAAAUUCCCAAAAGUUGUGACUUCAUGACCACUGAGUCAGCAGCAACUCUUUUCUUGCCAAGAAUAGCACAUUGUUCUUUUCCUUUUCAGGUAAUCCCUCCCCGGAAAGAGAAGAUCACAGAUUUUGUCAUAUUAAAUACAUUGUAGAAAUUCAUGGUAGCAGGGGCAAGAUCAUUUAAACAAAACAGAAAGUUUCAGAGAGAGAAAAAGCCAAGGACAAAGAUUAAUCAUUUUUCUGCUUAAAAAAAAUGGCUUUGAUUUGCAACCAUGGAAUGCUCCACUGUUUCUCUUCUCUUCAAAGACAUCUACUGAAAGGAUUCCUUAACCUUACCAAGUGGCCAAAAUACUUUUCUGAGAAGAGUCACAGAGCAUAGGCCCCCCUAGGGUACACAGAGAUUUCAUUAGUCCCUAGAUGUUUCCUGAUCCUUUUAAAAACUGGUUAAAUUCAGAGACUCUAGGCAAUUACUUCUUUCAGAACCUGUGAGGCAAAAACGAAAGAAGAAGGCAGGACACGCAGUGUAACAAACCUUGGAAUGGACUUCGCCAGACUUCAUCAGAAGAAAGCAGUGCAAGAGGGGACUGCAGAGGAAAGCUGGGGCUUGGGAAACCAGCAGCAGGGGCCACGUGGGCAGGUGGUUUCUGUGUGAACCUCUGAUCUGUGCAACAUAAACAGGAAAUGUUGAAGGCUUCCAGUGCUCUUUUUUGAUGUCGAGAACAUUCUACGGCACAAAAGAGUUUGCCUCUCACUGUUUCUCAUAUAUGGAGGUUUUCUAAUCAGCAUCCUGAACAGAAUUGAAUUAAAAAUAAAAACCAAAGUAAAACUAGCUUUAUCUCUAGAUUUUAAAAUUUUCAUUUUUUUUAGGGUGGCACCUAUACUGUUACCUUGUAGGUACCAAC
rnacentral:lncRNA from 10 species